AACUCAUGUGUCAUGGUGAUUCAUGGCCAAGAAUGUUAAGUUGUAGUUUAGAUUCUCUGUUGAUGUCAGUUGUUUGUUCAUAUAAUGAUGAUGGGCCCCAUUGUUAUAUGAACCCACCUAAAGGUGGUCAGCUGAUACUCACAGAAGAUCAACUCUGCACUAAGCAUUCUUUGAGUGAUGAUAUAACUGGGGUAUUGAAGUGGUUCCUUUUCCUUCGCUUGAAGUUACCACGAAAGUCCAUAUGAAUCCGUCCGUAUGAAUGGCCAUUUCGAUAUCAGUGGCUGCUUUAUUGGUUGACGAUGUCUGUGACUUCGUGUAUGGAAUGGUGUAAACAUGUUGAAUGGACAUUGCACAACGGCAUAUGUACGUAUGAACGUUAACAUUGAAAUGAUUGGACUAUAAAGAUGGACCAUAUUCUACGAAGAUGAAAACAAGCGAGUGGAAAAACACGAUCCAUGUCUUGUGGUUUAACCCUGAAAUCCGAUAGUCCAAAUAAUUGCAACUGCUAGAAUCCGAUACUACAAGUGCUGAAGAUCAAAGUUCACUACUGGAGUCAGUGUGGUUCUGCCUGAAAUCAAGUUGAAAAUCACAUUCACCGACUUAAAUGGUUUAGCCCGUCGGCGUGGUGUGCAUACUUGUGGUCCUUUACUUGAAGUUCUAAGCACCUAUCAGUGA